GUGAGUGUAGCUCAAUGGUCAGAGCACUGGACUGUGGCUCCAGGUGUUGGGGGUUCGAGUCCCCUCACUCACCCCA
rnacentral:tRNA from 1 species